GUGUAGCUACCGUAUAUACAAGUGUAGCGGGAUGGAAAUAUUGUGUACAUAUAUGCGAGUAUUUUUAACAUAGUGCCAUGCUGAACGGUCUGGGAGACUACAUGGAUCUUUUCAGUGGAAGCCCAGGUGAAAAAUUACAUGUAGAACACAGUACUACCAUGUGAGGAACAUCAGUAAUGUGCGCCUUGACAUUGGAUGCACUAAUGGUAAGAUCAAUGGUGCUGUUCUGACCUGACUAAUGUAAUUGUCUUCUUGGAAAUAUGUGACAGGACUUGCUGAUUAAACUACAGGGAAGAAGCAUGGAUAAAUCAGCAGAAGUGACAAACACACACUCUUCAGCCUCGGUAUGCUGCCACUGCUAACAAGUCUCAACAAGGAUUGAAAGGAUGCUCCUACCAACGUAUUCAAGGGUCAGCUCCAUCAGGCUGUUCACUGUGAGAGAUGACAAUUUGGGGCAACCAUCUAGAUAACUCAGUCAGCAGCCCAUUGUUCUUCAUACUAGCAACCUGAUUAAAAAUAUUUGCCCUCA